AACAAUAAGAAUGAGGUAGGUACCAGUGCUAACCCCAUUUUACAUAGGGGGAAACUUAGGCACAGAGAGGAGACCCCAUGAAAGGCAAUGGGGACACCUCCAGGAACCUCCCACCAAAAAAGAUCACUGCAGAGUAAGGACAAAUCGAACAUCAGAUUUCCUCAAGGGUGGGCACUUUCUCGAUGCAUUUCUGGUGCCCUCUUUUGGAUUUCAGCCUCAGUGGCCACAACACCACGGGUGUCAGUGACAGGAGCAAACCAAAUGCACUGGGGACUCAGCUGGGAGGAGCCGCCCUGGCAUUCCCACCAUGUCCGUGAAAUGGGGGGAAUCGUGGUAUGUACUUGAGAAUCAACAGAGGCUGGGCGAGGAAGACUUGGGAUACUUGUGAGCCCAUUCUAACAUCAGCAAUUGCUAAUAUCAUGUUUAUUGCCUUGAAUAAAAGAGAUGAAGAAAUAAAGGAAAAAGAGGAAAGGAAGGGGGAAAGGAAUGAAGAAAGGAGAGACAAGAAAUAAAGCAUUUUAGGCCGGGCCUGGGGGCUCACACCUGUAAUCUCAGUACUUGGGAAGACUGAGGUGGGCAUAUCACUUGAGGUCAGGAGUUCAAGACCAGCCUGGCCAACAUGGCAAAACCCCAUCUCUACUAAAAAUACAAAAACUAGGCCGGGCACGGUGUCUCACGCCUAUAAUCCCAGCACUUUGGGAGGCCGAGGCAGGCGGAUCACGAGGUCAGGAGAUCGAGACCAUCCUGGCUAACACAAUGAAACUCCACCUCUACUGAAAAAAAAAUACGAAAAAAGUUAGCCGGGCGUGGUGGCAUGCACCUGUAGUCCCAGCUCCUCGGGAGGCUGAGGCAGGAGAAUAGCGUGAACCCGGGAAGAGGAGCUUGCAGUGAGCCAAGAUCACACCACUGCACUCCAGCCUGGGCAACAGAGCAAGACUCUGUCUCAAAAAAAAAAAUGCAAAAACUAGCUGGGCAUCGUAAUGCACACCUGUAAUCCCAGCUACUGGGGAGGCUGAGACAGGAGAAUCACUUGAACCCAGGAGGUGGAGGUUGCAGUGAGCCAAGGUCGCACCACUGCACUCCAGCCUGGGCAACACAGCAAGACUCCAUCUCAAAAGAAAAAAAAAAGAAAAGUAUUUUAAUAUCAAAGAAGAAGGAAGAGGGCCAGAAAGAAGAGAUAGGGCUGAAAAAAGAAGGCAGGAAACAAGCAGAAUGUUUCCAAAGAGUCCCAUGAACUAUUCAGAAAACAGUUGUUUUGUUUUGUUUUGUUUUGAGACGGAGUCUUGCUCUGUCACCCAGGCAGGAGUGCAGUGGCAUGAUCUCGGCUCACUGCAACCCCACCUCCUGGGUUCAAGUGAUUCUUCUGCCUCAGCCUCCUGAGUAGCUGGGAUUAUAGGUACACGCCACCAUGCCCAGCUAAUUUUUGUAUUUUUAGUAGAGACGGGGUUUCAACAUAUUGGCCAGGCUGGUCUCAAACUCCUGACCUCAUGAUCCACUCACUUUGGCCUCCCAAAGUGCUGGGAUUACCGCGCCCGGCCAAGAAUUUUGUCUUUAAAGGAGUUGACAGUGGGGUGUGGACCGUGUAGCCGAGACAGCUUGCAGGGUGGUUGUGCUCACCCCGCAUCAAGGUUGCUAAGCUGCUGUGAUGGAAUCCUGGAGCUGCUGAAGGACACCUCAUCUCUUUGUGGGAAGCAUCUGCUUGAGGAUUAAGGGAAUGCAGAAAAAAAGUGGAGUAGAGAGAUGGAGGAAGAUGACUUUCGAGGACAUUGUGUGAGCACCUGGAUCUAACUGUGCCUGAAGCAAAACUCAAACCCUGGACUCUCAAUGUAUUGGCUCUCAGUUCCAAGACCCAAUAAAUUCC
rnacentral:lncRNA from 1 species